rnacentral:rRNA from 1 species
AUAGUUUGAUGCUGGCUCAGAAUGAACGCUGGCGGCGUGCUUAACACAUGCAAGUUGAGCGGUAAGGCCCCUUCGGGGGUACACGAGCAGCGAACGGGUGAGUAACGCGUGGGUAAUCUACCCAUGAGGUGGAGGAUAGCCUCGGGAAACCGGGGGUAAUACUGCAUACGUCCCGACUGACACAAGUCUAUCGGGGGAAAGGCGGGGAUCUUCGGACCUGUCGCCUCUGGAUGAGCCCGCGUCCGAUUAGCUUGUUGGUGAGGUAAUGGCUCACCAAGGCAUCGAUCGGUAGCCGGCCUGAGAGGGUGAACGGCCACAUUGGGACUGAGACACGGCCCAGACUCCUACGGGAGGCAGCAGUGGGGAAUUUUGGGCAAUGGGCGAAAGCCUGACCCAGCGACGCCGCGUGGAGGAUGAAGGCCUUCGGGUUGUAAACUCCUGUCAGGUGGGAAGAAGAGUCCUGUGGAUAAUACUCACAGGGAAUUGACGGUACCACCAAAGGAAGCCCCGGCUAACUCCGUGCCAGCAGCCGCGGCAAUACGGAGGGGGCAAGCGUUAUUCGGAUUUACUGGGCGUAAAGCGCACGUAGGCGGCAGUGUAAGUCACAGGUGAAAUCCCUCGGCUCAACCGAGGAACCGCCUGCGAAACUGCAUUGCUUGAGUCCGGGAGGGGGGAGCGGAAUUCCCAGUGUAGCGGUGAAAUGCGUAGAUACUGGGAGGAACACCGGUGGCGAAGGCGGCUCCCUGGACCGGU